CGCACGGGUGAGUAACACGUAUCCAACCUGCCGUCUACUCUUGGACAGCCUUCUGAAAGGAAGAUUAAUACAGGAUGGCAUCAUGAGUCCGCAUGUUCACAUGAUUAAAGGUAUUCCGGUAGACGAUGGGGAUGCGUUCCAUUAGAUAGUAGGCGGGGUAACGGCCCACCUAGUCUUCGAUGGAUAGGGGUUCUGAGAGGAAGGUCCCCCACAUUGGAACUGAGACACGGUCCAA
rnacentral:rRNA from 1 species